UUGACCUCGGAUCAGGUAGGGAUACCCGCUGAACUUAAGCAUAUCAAUAAGCGGAGGAAAAGAAACCAACAGGGAUUGCCCCAGUAACGGCGAGUGAAGCGGCAAGAGCUCAAAUUUGAAAGCUGGCUCCUUCGGGGUCCGCAUUGUAAUUUGUAGAGGAUGCUUCGGGAGCGGUCCCCAUCUAAGUGCCCUGGAACGGGACGUCAUAGAGGGUGAGAAUCCCGUAUGGGAUGGGGUGUCCGCGCCCGUGUGAAGCUCCUUCGACGAGUCGAGUUGUUUGGGAAUGCAGCUCUAAAUGGGUGGUAAAUUUCAUCUAAAGCUAAAUAUUGGCCGGAGACCGAUAGCGCACAAGUAGAGUGAUCGAAAGAUGAAAAGCACUUUGAAAAGAGAGUUAAAAAGCACGUGAAAUUGUUGAAAGGGAAGCGCUUGCGACCAGACUCGCUCGCGGGGUUCAGCCGGCAUUCGUGCCGGUGUACUUCCCCGCGGGCGGGCCAGCGUCGGUUUGGGCGGUCGGUCAAAGGCCCUCGGAAGGUAACGCCCCUAGGGGCGUCUUAUAGCCGAGGGUGCAAUGCGACCUGCCUAGACCGAGGAACGCGCUUCGGCUCGACGCGC
rnacentral:rRNA from 1 species